rnacentral:rRNA from 1 species
CGGCCGCGUCGACGCAAGUCGAGCGCAUGAACCCGGCGGACCUCUUCGGAGGGAAACCGGGGGAUUGAGCGGCGGACGGGUGAGUAACACGUGGGCAACCUGCCCUUCAGACGGGGAUAACUCCGGGAAACCGGAGCUAAUACCCGAUAAUCAAGCCGAUCUCCUGAUCGGCUUGUAAAAGCAUGGUCUUCGGACCAUGCACUGGGGGAUGGGCCCGCGGCGUAUUAGCUAGUUGGAGAGGUAAUGGCUCCCCGAAGGCGACGAUACGUAGCCGACCUGAGAGGGUGAUCGGCCACACUGGGACUGAGACACGGCCCAGACUCCUACGGGAGGCAGCAGUAGGGAAUCAUCCGCAAUGGACGAAAGUCUGACGGUGCAACGCCGCGUGAGUGAUGAAGGUUUUCGGAAUCGUAAAGCUACUGUUAGUAGAGGGAAAGAACCAAAGGGGCGGUUUCGUAAACACGGGGUCCGCCCCCGUUAGACGGGUAACCCUCAACCCGAGAAAACGGCCCCCGGGUACUAAACCGUACCGUGACCCAGCAGCCGACGGUAAUACGUAGGGGCAAGUCGUUAGUCCGGAAUUAGUUCGGGCGUAAACGCGCGCGACCGG